GUGGGGAAUAUUGGACAAUGGGCGCAAGCCUGAUCCAGCCAUGCCGCGUGAGUGAUGAAGGCCUUAGGGUUGUAAAGCUCUUUCACCGAUGAAGAUAAUGACGGUAGUCGGAGAAGAAGCCCCGGCUAACUUCGUGCCAGCAGCCGCGGUAAUACGAAGGGGGCUAGCGUUGUUCGGAUUUACUGGGCGUAAAGCGCACGUAGGCGGUUUGUUAAGUCAGGGGUGAAAUCCCGGAGCUCAACUCCGGAACUGCCUUCAAAACUCCUGGGCUGGAGUACGAGAGAGGUGAGUGGAAUUCCGAGUGUAGGGGUGAAAUUCGUAGAUAUUCGGAGGAACACCAGUGGCGAAGGCGGCUCACUGGCUCGAUACUGACGCUGGGGUGCGAAAGCGGGGGGAGCAAACAGGAUUAGAUACCCUUGUAGUCC
rnacentral:rRNA from 1 species